AGUGAACGCUGGCGGUAGGCCUAACACAUGCAAGUCGAACGGCAGCACAGGAGAGCUUGCUCUCUGGGGGGCGAGUGGCGAACGGGUGAGUAAAGCAGCGGAACGUGCCCAGUCGUGGGGGAUAACGUAGCGAAAGCUACGCUAAUACCGCAUACGAUCUGGUGAUGUAAGCGGGGGACCGUAAGGCCUCGCGCGAUUGGAGCGGCCGGUGUCAGAUUAGGUAGUUGGUGAGGUAAAGGCUCACCAAGCCGACGAUCUGUAGCUGGUCUGAGAGGACGACCAGCCACACUGGGACUGAGACACGGCCCAGACUCCUACGGGAGGCAGCAGUGGGGAAUUUUGGACAAUGGGCGCAAGCCUGAUCCAGCAAUGCCGCGUGCAGGAUGAAGGCCUUCGGGUUGUAAACUGCUUUUGUACGGAGCGAAACGGCUUCCACUAAUACCGGGGGCUAAUGACGGUACCGUAAGAAUAAGCACCGGCUAACUACGUGCCAGCAGCCGCCGUAA
rnacentral:rRNA from 1 species